AUGUGCUUACUUUGUUUCUCUAGGCUCUGGCUGGAAUCCUCAGCCAAGCAAGCUUUGAAAGAAGGAAAUAUUUCAUCUGUGCAUAUCAUCCCUGCUCUGUUGCUGCCUGCUAAUCACUUUAUGUGUUGAGGAAGAAAGGAAUCUGGAGGAGGAUGCCCUGUUGCAGAUGAGGUCUACCUGUACUUUGGCAAAAAGGCAAUCUGCCAAGUGAGCCAUUAUGCAUCAUUCUAUGCCAAUCACUGCAAAUUGAGAGGGGAAAAAAGCAGCAGGCCCUGACUGAGGUUUAGAAAUUAUGUGCUUACAUUUUAAUUGUGUUGAAGGUACACAAUGUUUCUCUGAGAAUGAUACCUGGAAGAGGACUG
rnacentral:lncRNA from 1 species